rnacentral:rRNA from 1 species
GAUGAACGCUGGCGGCGUGCCUAAUACAUGCAAGUCGAGCGAACAGACGAGGAGCUUGCUCCUCUGACGUUAGCGGCGGACGGGUGAGUAACACGUGGAUAACCUACCUAUAAGACUGGGAUAACUUCGGGAAACCGGAGCUAAUACCGGAUAACAUGUUGAACCGCAUGGUUCAACAGUGAAAGACGGUCUUGCUGUCACUUAUAGAUGGAUCCGCGCCGCAUUAGCUAGUUGGUAAGGUAACGGCUUACCAAGGCAACGAUGCGUAGCCGACCUGAGGGGGUGAUCGGCCACACUGGAACUGAGACACGGUCCAGACUCCUACGGGAGGCAGCAGUAGGGAAUCUUCCGCAAUGGGCGAAAGCCUGACGGAGCAACGCCGCGUGAGUGAAGAAGGUCUUCGGAUCGUAAAACUCUGUUAUUAGGGAAGAACAAAUGUGUAAGUAACUAUGCACGUCUUGACGGUACCUAAUCAGAAAGCCACGGCUAACUACGUG